ACGGCUCAGUAACACGUGGAUAACCUGCCCUUGGGUCCGGCAUAACCCCGGGAAACUGGGGAUAAUUCCGGAUAACGCAUAUAUGCUGGAAUGCUUUCUGCGUAAAAUGGAUUCGUCUGCCCAAGGAUGGGUCUGCGGCCUAUCAGGUAGUAGUGGGUGUAAUGUACCUACUAGCCUACGACGGGUACGGGUUGUGAGAGCAAGAGCCCGGAGAUGGAUUCUGAGACAUGAAUCCAGGCCCUACGGGGCGCAGCAGGCGCGAAAACUUUACAAUGCGGGAAACCGUGAUAAGGGGACACCGAGUGCCAGCAUCAUAUGCUGGCUGUCCGGGUGUGUAAAAUACACCUGUUAGCAAGGGCCGGGCAAGACCGGUGCCAGCCGCCGCGGUAACACCGGCGGCCCGAGUGGUGAUCGUGAUUAUUGGGUCUAAAGGGUCCGUAGCCGGUUUGGUCAGUCCUCCGGGAAAUCUGAUAGCUCAACUAUUAGGCUUUCGGAGGAUACUGCCAGACUUGGAACCGGGAGAGGGUAAGAGGUACUACAGGGGUAGGAGUGAAAUCUUGUAAUCCCUGUGGGACCACCUGGUGGCGAAGGCGUCUUACCAGAACGGGUUCGACGGUGAGGG
rnacentral:rRNA from 1 species